GAUGAACGCUGGCGGCGUGCCUAAUACAUGCAAGUCGAGCGAAUGGAUUAAGAGCUUGCUCUUAUGAAGUUAGCGGCGGACGGGUGAGUAACACGUGGGUAACCUGCCCAUAAGACUGGGAUAACUCCGGGAAACCGGGGCUAAUACCGGAUAACAUUUUGAACCGCAUGGUUCGAAAUUGAAGGGCGGCUUCGGCUGUCACUUAUGGAUGGACCCGCGUCGCAUUAGCUAGCUGGUGAGGUAACGGCUCACCUAGGCAACGAUGCGUAGCCGACCUGAGAGGGUGAUCGGCCACACGGGGACUGAGACACGGCCCAGACUCCUACGGGAGGCAGCAGUAGGGAAUCUUCCGCAAUGGACGAAAGUCUGACGGAGCAACGCCGCGUGAGUGAUGAAGGCUUUCGGGUCGUAAAACUCUGUUGUUAGGGAAGAACAAGUGCUAGUUGAAUAAGCUGGCACCUUGACGGUACCUAACCAGAAAGCCACGGCUAACUACGUGCCAGCAGCCGCGGUAA
rnacentral:rRNA from 1 species